GCACAGUCAUAUCUGAUCUUCCUGUAAUGCUGGACUCUGCUCUGGAGUUCCCCAGGUCCCAAUGUCUACUGUCUCCUGGAAACCUGUUGGCUGGAAGAAGACAAAAAGGAAGGGAAAAGCAUGCAGACUUCUAAAAAAUUACUCCAUAAGCAGAAAAAGCUACUUUAAAAGCAAAAAGAUCCCUUUCUAUGAAGCUCUGGAAAAGCAAAACUAUUGGGACAGAAACCAGAUCACUGGUUGUCUGGGGCUGGGGGACCUUUCUGAGGGGACAGAAGUAUCCUAUAUCUUGACUGUGGUGGGGUAACAAGACUGGAUAUGACAGUAUCCGUUACAAACAAGGAGAAAGUUACUGCAUGUGAAUUACACCUCAAUAAACCUGACUUAAAGAAAGCCAAAAGGAAAACAAGACUGUUCCUGAUCCCUUGGCUACUUAUGAUCCGACCCCCUCCCAGGCCAGCACUCUAGAUGACUCAGGGAAGUGGGGUUAUGACCCUUUCCUAAAGGGCCACUUUGGGAGUUCAGAAGCUGCCGUUUAAGAGAAAUAAAGAGCUAUAACUAGAAAUCAAGCUCAUCUCCCCGCUUGGUGAAGCUCAGGGAUCAGAGACAAGAGAAGCACGGCUGGCCAAGCCCACUUCCUCACCACCACUGCCGUGCCAAGGUCCCGGGCCAGCGUCUUCAGCUCUCGGGCCAGCUGCAUCAUCAAGGCCAGGCCUAGAGGAGAAGUAGAGGGGGAAGGCAGCAGGGCAUUAGGGACUGGGCUGGCUGGAGACUGGACUCUGAUCUGGGAGGCAAGAUCACAUCCCUGACCCUGGGCUCUGCCACAUCACUCACCUUCCCUCUGCUGACCUCCUAGAAGUGGGGAGACCACGGCGGUGACCGAGUCCACAACCACGACCUUCACAAUCCCCGAAGAACUGCUCACCUUGGGGGUUGGGGGGAAGUAGGUGCCAUGAACCAGCUGGCCCAUUCCAGGACAAGCUUGCUCCUCUAUCAGAAACUGGUAAGAAAUAACCUCCCCCGACCCCAAAUACAGGAGCACAGGAAUCACGGAAUUUCAGCCAAGUCUUCUUUCCCCACCCCACUUUGUCUGUAUAACAGAUUUUACUGAAGACUUGGGUGGACAGAGAGGGUUUAAAUCACAGUACACCACAGAUACCCUAAAACAAUGAAAUUUGAGAAAUCCCUGUCCAGUGUCCUGCUGCCCCUGGUCAGGAAUUUCCUUAGUGGCCACCUUUCUCCUUAUGGCCAGCCCCCCAACAUCUUGUCAGGUCCUUCUUUUCCCCCUCCUGCUUACUUCCCAAAUUCCUAACUUCUUUUGCUGAAGAGUUCAGCCUUUCUCUUUACUUCAGUCUCCUUCUAGAUCAUUUCUCUGGGGCCUCAUCUUCCAGAUCUAAAAUGGUUCCAAAUAUAGAUAUAGAGACAGCCAUCUGUUAAAACCAUAAUUUUUUGUCUCUACACGAGCACUAGCAACCUCCUAGUUUCUUGGACCUAAACUGUCUUUGAUGCUUCCCUUCUCUUCUCCCUUAGUCUUUAUAUCCAAGUCAUUUGCUGAUUCUGUUUCCACAACUUUUUUUUUUUCACUUCAUGUUGGCCAAGUCUUGGAUAUUCAGCAUUAUCUGGUCUCUUCUGCACUUCUUCCUUCAUCUUCCAGAUACUGACUCUUGGCCAGUCCUCAGCUUGUCUAAGAGAGGAUGGCGGAAAAGAGAGAAGCUAAAACUGAAAUUGGCUUAGCUCUUCCUCUCUCUGGGAGACCAGGUUGAAAUCUCUGGCUAAAAUGCGACAGCAAGCCUUUCACUGCCUGUAGCUAUGGAGCUGUCAGGUCAUCGGUGGCAGACAGACCCUAAGGUGGUCCCCAGAUCCCCACCUCUAGGUAUUCAAGCGGUUGUACAAUCCCCUCCCCUUGACCAUGGGUGAGUCUUGUGACUUGCUUCUGACUAAUGUCAAAGGUGUUGGAAUGUCACUCUCUUGAUGAGGCUAUGUUAUAUGGCAAAGGUAAUGGGACGGCACCUCCGUGAUUACAUUACAUUGUAUAAGACUGUGUGCUGCAUUUUGUUCUCACUCCCAUGCCGUCUUGAAGAAGCAAGUGGCCACGCUGUGAACUGCCUUUGGAAAGGGCCACGUGGCAGGGAAGAGCAGGCAGCUUCCAGGAGUUGAAGGUGACCUCUGGCCAACUGCCAACAAGAAACUGAAGCUGCUAGGAAAUGAAUUCUGCCAACAACCUGAGUGAACUUGUAAGCAGAUUCUUCCCCAGUUGAGCCUCCAGAUAAGAACACAGCUCAACUGCCACCUUGAUUACAGCCUAGUGUGACACUAAGCAGAGGACCCAGCUUAGCUGUGCCCAAACUCCUGAUCCACGAAAACUAUGAGGUAAUAAAUAUGUGUUGUUUUAAGUCACCAAGUUUGUGGUAACUUGUUAUGCAAUAAUAGAACAUAGACCAUCUAAUGCUCCUACAGUAAAAAAUAUAUGGUGACUGUGGACAACUCACUGAAUUUCUCCAGCCCUCACUCUCCUCAUAUCUAGAAACGAGAGGGUUGGAUUAGAUCAGGACUACCUGCCUUCACGUCUCAACACACAGAGUCUGUAGGAGGAUAUCUGCCCAUAUCCAGAGAGCACCCGGCAAGCUGGGUGAAGCAGAGGGGUAGAACAGCAUGCUCACCUGCUGGGCCACAGCACCUCGGAGGUCCUGCAGCACAUCCAACAUCUGGAAGAUGUCAAACGCACGUACCACCUGGAUCCUCUGAAGAGCUCCCGCCUGAAGAGGUAGGGAUGAGAAGGAGGGGCUUCGGAUAAGAGGGAGCAGGGGGUGGAGCAAGAUGAAGAGGGAUGUUAAGGCUGAGCAGGAAGAGGCCCCUAGACAAAAGGACUCAGGUCCAGGAUGGCAAAUGGGCUUUGUCUAAUGGGUCAGUUCUCACAGUGGUGGCUGCCUGGGUGCUGAGGUGCAAAGCCAAGUCAGAGCUCAGUGGGAAUGAAUGAUAGGACUGAUUAGCAAUGUCUGCCAAGGGCAAGAAAUUGGAUAGACACACGGAUGCAGGCUGUUUGCCAGCCCUGAAUUAGUUUCUUGGAAGGAUCAGUGUGGGUAGCAUCCAAGCUGGGGUGAUGUCAUAACAGGGGAGGCUUGAAGAAUACAGGAAAUAUUAAUAAAACAGCAAGUUUCAAAGCCAGAAAUAACUAUUCAUCCAAAUGGCCCAAGUGCUUGCAAUGUAAAGGAUAAUGGGGUCUUUUGGUGUCAGAAUCUCAAAGGAACCCACCCCUCCUGCCCCUUACCUGCUCCUCCUCAUCUGGGGUU